rnacentral:SRP_RNA from 1 species
GCCGGGCGCCGUGGCGCGUGCCUGUAGUCUUAGCUACUCAGGAGGCUGAGGUGGGAGGAUUGCUUGAGCCCAGGAAUUCUGGGCUGCAGUGCGCUAUGCUGAUCGGGUGUCUGCACUAAGUUCGGCAUCAAUAUGGUGACCUCCCGGGAGUGGGGGACCACCAGGUUGCCUAAGGAGGGGUGAACCGGCCCAGGUUGGAAACGGAGCAGGUCAAAACUCCCGUGCUGAUCAGUAGUGGGAUCGCGCCUGUGAAUAGCCACUGCACUCCAGCCUGGGCAACAUAGCGAGACCCCGUUUCU